AUGAAUGGUUAUAUGUGAGCAGUGUUAUUUCUUAUAUGCUAUGCAAAUAGUUGAAGAUUAAUUAGCAGUAUAACUAUAAGUAAUAAUGCUACUAGUCUCCUUCAGACAAGA
rnacentral:snoRNA from 1 species